rnacentral:misc_RNA from 1 species
UCUCCGUUGGUGAACCAGCGGAGGGAUCAUUACCAAGUUUUUCUACUCCCAAACCCCUGUGAACUUAUACCUUUACUGUUGCUUCGGCGGGUUAACGCCCCGGAAGGCCCAAAAAGCCGCCGGAACCAGGCGCCCGCCGGGGGACCCAAACUCUUGUAUUUCUUGCUUUGCAUGUCUGAGUGGAAUCAUAAACAAAUGAAUCAAAACUUUCAACAACGGAUCUCUUGGUUCUG